CGCAACGCGCCGCAGGAAGAUGGCGGAUUUACGACCGUGUCGUCAUAACAACGGGCCGCGCUGAGGCGAGCGAGAGAAAACGACAAGAGGAGGCCGACGGGGCGGAGCCAGGUGAUAUUUAAUUAGCUCUAUGAAGCUAAGCACUUUACAGGAUUUUCUCAUUUAAGUACCAAUCGCCCCCAUUUUGAAGAUGAAGAAACUGAGGCACAGUACUGAUAGGACGCUUGCCCAAGGGCGGACUGGAGACGGAAGUCUGCACAGAGCCAUGGGCUGGAAACCCACAGGAUGUGCUCUCUCCCACAUCAGUUAUCUUCUGUGGCCCAGCCCUGUGCUGAAUCCCAGAGACUCAGAUGAAUCAGAACUGGUCUCCUCCAGGAAGGCUAAUCUCUAGAAAAGACCAAGCAGAGACUCAAGGGACGGGGCAGAGAGUAGACUGUUCUGCCCUGGCAAGGACACCAAGCAGAGACUGUCUCCAUGCUGGGGCUGCCCAGCUGGGCCCCCGAGGACCCUUGGCCUGGCAGAAGCCGGCCUGUGUGAAGCACAGGUCAGACGGUCAGAGGUCAGACUGGGUAACAAUGAGGUUGCUUUCUGCAUGAGGCUUGCUCGCCAAUGCAGGGGGAUAGGCCGACGGUGUGAAAGCAUUUCAAAAGGAUCCCUCUGACUGCUGUGCGGAUAAAAGGACCUCAGGGCCCAUAGAGGCAAGAAGAUCCCAGAUGGAUGGUCUCUGAGAGGGACAAACCGGAGGAAGACCGGGGGCUGGGGGGAGCUUGCGGAGGGGGCUUCUGGGAAGGUAGGACCAGGAAGACACCUCACUUAAGGAUGUGCUGAAGAGUAAUGGUGAAGCCAGCAUCAGAGAGAGAGAGGAAGCCCCAGAGGAAUGGGAUAGGGCAGGGUCUCAAAGGCAGAGGACACCCUGAGUGUGGGUGGACACGAGGAGGAGCCGGCCCAGGGGAGACAGAGAGCCUGCCUGCCGCGUGCUCCAGAACCGUGUCCAGAGCGGACCAAAGCUCCUGCCUGGUGGCUCCCUGGGAGUCAGGAAAGGGCAUCCUGCACCAGUGAGUCCCAGGUCCUGCGUUACGAGAGCCCAGGCAAGCCAGCGGGUACAGGGGCAGACAGGCCUAAGGUCGCUGAAAGGCAGAGUGGCCAGACAAAGACAGGAAAACCGGAGUCCCCACUCCCCCAAACAGCCUCCUCCCCGACCCAGCCCUCCGCGGCACGGGCUCCAGCGGCACCCUGUGUGUUUUUAGAGUCAGUGCUGUGCUGACCUGCUGUGGCCAGAGCCACGGAGACUCCAUCACCCUUUAUGAGGACUGCUCAACCUCUGUUCUUUGAUGGACUUAUUGAACCAAUCCCGUGCUGAAGAAUAUUUAGAUUGCUUCCGAA